AUGCCUGCAACAACAACAACAAUGAGGCAAAUGAAGCCAGGCCGCAACAGAAUCGCAUUAAUGAAGGGCGCCACAGAAAUCGAAAGCCGUAAAUCAAGUGUGAAUAAACUCUGAAGGAAAUCGCACACACACACACGCACCGGAUAUAGAUAGAAAGAAGAAGCUGAAGACGAUGGCAAGUAAUCAAAAUGCACAGAGGCAUAAAAAAUUCAAUUUGCGAAUUACUUUACUUACGUAAUGGCCACCGGCUCGGAGGAAACGAUUUCGCGCACCUUCUCAAAUCCCAAAGUGGUUAUAUAAGCUAUCGAAUACCAUUCCUGCCAGCGCGGAAUGGGACCCAUUUUGACUAGCACCGUGAACGAGAACAUUAUCAGAAAGAACAUGUACGCAAUCUGCAAAUAUGGCCAGAAACAUAUUAAUUACAUUAAAAAAUAAAAACACGGAGAAGUGCA